rnacentral:tRNA from 1 species
GUCGGAUUAGCUCAGUUGGUAAAGCAGCGGUUCUGUAUACCGAAGGUCCCGCGUUCGAUUCCUGCACCCGGGA